GAGCAUGCGCAGUCAGGCACAGUCCGCUAUAUAAGGGGGUGCUCGCGGAUAGGCGCUCCCUUUUUCGUUCCCUUCGCUGAGGGUAGCGGUCCACCAAGCAGGCGCGGGCAACAUGUGCUGGAGACCUGGCCUGGUAGAGCAAGGCCAGGCGCGGCCCCAGGAUAGAACCAGCAGGAAGCGCCGGUGCUCUGGUUAUGAACCCACUGUGUCCAUUGCCCCCUGUGACCCUCAUGGAGGAGGCAGCGGUCCAUGGCAGCAAGGUGGGAGCAACAUGAGCCUGGGAUACCUGGCUCACUGAGAGAAAGGUGCCAUGGUGACCUGAAGCAGACUUGGAAAAAGUGGUCACUGUCCUGGUUAACAAGCCACUUGUGAGCCAUUAAUAGGGGAGAGUGGGACUAUUAUGUUGUCCAUAGACAUAGACUUGAGGAUCUUCUAAAGGUGAAGGAGUUGUCAAUGUCAGCACGAAGCAGAAGUUGCCCUGUGAAGUAG